rnacentral:lncRNA from 1 species
UCUUGAUAUCUGCAGGGACUCCUAGAACUAAACCUCCAGAGAUGCAAACUGACCUGUUGCCUUCGGCACCUUCUCCAUGCCUUUCCCAUUGGGAUGGAAUUUCUCUCCUGUAACUACCUCAAGAGUGGCAGAUCACCAAGCAAUAAGCACACUUAUUUGGAGUCAUUGCCUCCUCACCAAAUAUGUAAGGUGUAUUGAUCAAAAAUAGACAGAAUAAACCGAUAAGUGAGGAGCUCACAGGAUUUCCUAGUGUAUGUGCUAGAUCAUCUAUUUCCUCUUGCAUGUUACUGAAUAAAAG